rnacentral:rRNA from 1 species
UGCGUAGGCGGUUAAUUAAGUUGGAUGUGAAAUUCCCGGGCUUAACUUGGGAGCUGCAUUCAAAACUGGUUAACUAGAGUUCAGGAGAGGGAAGCGGAAUUCCUAGUGUAGCGGUGAAAUGCGUAGAUAUAUGGAAGAACACCAGUGGCGAAGGCGGCUGUCUGGUCUGUAACUGACGCUGAGGCUCGAAAGCAUGGGUAGCGAACA